rnacentral:rRNA from 1 species
AUUGAACGCUGGCGGCAGGCCUAACACAUGCAAGUCGAGCGGAUGAAGGGAGCUUGCUCCUGAAUUCAGCGGCGGACGGGUGAGUAAUGCCUAGGAAUCUGCCUGGUAGUGGGGGAUAACGUCCGGAAACGGGCGCUAAUACCGCAUACGUCCUGAGGGAGAAAGUGGGGGAUCUUCGGACCUCACGCUAUCAGAUGAGCCUAGGUCGGAUUAGCUAGUUGGUGGGGUAAAGGCCUACCAAGGCGACGAUCCGUAACUGGUCUGAGAGGAUGAUCAGUCACACUGGAACUGAGACACGGUCCAGACUCCUACGGGAGGCAGCAGUGGGGAAUAUUGGACAAUGGGCGAAAGCCUGAUCCAGCCAUGCCGCGUGUGUGAAGAAGGUCUUCGGAUUGUAAAGCACUUUAAGUUGGGAGGAAGGGCAGUAAGUUAAUACCUUGCUGUUUUGACGUUACCAACAGAAUAAGCACCGGCUAACUUCGUG